CUAUGGUUUCUCAACAAAGUAGUUAUCUUAACUAGGGACAAUCUAGCUCGACGAAACUGGCAAGGCUGCAAAAAAUGUGUUUUCUGCAAUCAUAAUGAAUCCAUUAAACACCUAUUUUUUGAUUGCAAGUUUGCUAGAUCGGUAUGGGCAAUAGUCCAAAUUGCUUCGAAUCUAUAUCCUCCACGCAGCGUACGGAAUAUGUUCGGCAAUUGGUUGAGGGAAAUAGAUAAACAAUUGUCUAAGCACAUUCUUGCGGGGGCGGCUGCCUUAUGUUGGGCGUUGUGGCUCACCAGGAAUGAUAUUGUUUUUAAUCAUAAAAGUGUUUCAUCUCCUAUGCAGGUAAUUCAUAUAUGCUCGCGAUGGCUCCGUAUGUGGUCUAUCCUGCAGAGGCCGAAGGACAGAGAUCUUUUUAUGAUGGCUUCUACCCGGUUGGAGUGCUCGGCCAGGGACAUUUUUUACCCCCAUGGAUGGCGGUGUGACCUUCGGAUUGGACCGGCAUCACCUUAG
rnacentral:rRNA from 1 species